GACGACCAUAGCAAGGUGGUCCCACUCCUUCCCAUCCCGAACAGGACAGUGAAACGCCUUCGCGCCGAUGAUAGUGGAUGUACAUCUGUGAAAGUAGGUCAUCGUCAGGC
rnacentral:rRNA from 1 species